GCAGGCCCUGGUUUCUCUGAUGUUGGAUAACCCUGCUGUUCUGCUGAGGGUCUCUUAUCCAAACAGAACAGCCUUACAACACGCUUUCCAGCCCAUAAUGCUAUACCCACACUAUUCGCAACAUUUAAAAACUAUUGCAGUUUUGCAAGUGAGAAUUAAUCAUAUAAUUCAACAACUAUAUUUCUGAAAUAUGCUACUAAAAUAUAUGGUAUUUCUGCUUUUUCACAUCAGCUAUUUCUAAGGACAAGUUACAGAAUACACUGUGCUCUACUUCUUCAGAUCACAUCCAGCCCGGCCUUGAACACCUCCAGGGACGGGGCAUCCACAGCCUCUCUGGGCAGCCUGUGCCAGCACCUCACCGCUCUCUCGGUCGCUGCGGCUGUUUGGUUUUUAGUCCCAUCUCCCUUGGCCAUCCUAGCGAGGACCUCACGUGGAUCGACUGCAACGAAGGAUCCUGGCAGAGAGCCCAACACCUCUACGCUGCCACGGGGGAAGGAGAUCGACUGAGCCCUUCUGUGCACCGAGAGGCGAUGAUGCGCAAAGGAGAUGAAGAAAAGCAGUCUCAGUGCGGUAAUGCUGGGAAGCAGCGGGAAAGGGCUGAGGGGGGAGAAAAGAGCCCGAGGCCACGGGAGGGUCCCCGGGCAGUCAGUGCCGAGGGCCGUGGGCGCAGGAAGGCGGAGUGCUCGUCCAGAAGGAAGAGGCGGAGGCGCGGGAGCAGCGGUCCCGUCCCCGUGUGCCGCGAGCUGAGGCGGAGGGAAGAGAGCGGCGGGAGCGAGCGGGGAGCUUGGCUGAGAGUGC
rnacentral:lncRNA from 1 species